UCGCAUAUAAUUACGGUAAGAAAAGUAAUUUGUCAAUCAUUUUGAUACACAAAUAUCUGUAUAAGCUAUAAAUUCCAACAUUCCAAAAUAACCAGAUAUACUUUAAUAGCGAGUAUGUAUAUACAGGUACAUGUAUUUUGUAUGUAUGUACAUGUAUUUUGCUAGACAAAAAGGUUAUUUCUGAUUCUUUCUUCUGUUCAGAAUGAUAAGAAUGUGCUUAUUUAAAGCUCUUGUGUUUGGUGGUUAUAAAUAAAGUAAAGAAGCACAAUUUUUAGUUGAUUUAGUCCUGAUUAAUAAACAACCCACCUUGCCCUAUUAUGGCCAAUGUGUUAGGACCUGUCAACAUUGCUGUGACUUGAUCUCAAAUUUUGAACUGCCCCUGUAUCCAUUCAUGUUCUAAGCAAGAAAAUUUUGUUGUAAAAUUCCAUGUACAUGUUAAUGUCUUGCUUUGAUGCCCAAUUAUACUUGAGUAGAUCUGUAUUUUAUUUCAGUCUUGAAAAAAUUAUUGUAUUGAAUUUUGUAUUUCUGUGAUCAACAAUAUUAUGCUCAUAUUAAAAUCAGAAAAAUACUGUAAAUUUAUCAUAUCAUUAUUUUUGUUUUGGCUGUAUAAUGACAAUCUAUGAGAUUAUACCGACAUUGUGCGUAUAUCCAACCAUUUUCUUAGCACUCUGCAUGCAUGGAUCUGCAGUAACUUUACAAUAUUAUUUGUGAUAUUUAUCAACUGAAGGAUCUUGUUGUCACAUAUGUAUCUGUGAUUCUUAAAUGAUUUUGUUUGAUUAUACAACCCUUUCUAUGUAGUUUUUAAUGUUUGAAAUAAAUUCAAAAAUAAAUUCACUGAAAUUUU
rnacentral:misc_RNA from 1 species